GAUGAACGCUGGCGGCGUGCCUAAUACAUGCAAGUCGAGCGAAUGGAUUAAGAGCUUGCUCUUAUGAAGUUAGCGGCGGACGGGUGAGUAACACGUGGGUAACCUGCCCAUAAGACUGGGAUAACUCCGGGAAACCGGGGCUAAUACCGGAUAACAUUUUGAACCGCAUGGUUCGAAAUUGAAAGGCGGCUUCGGCUGUCACUUAUGGAUGGACCCGCGUCGCAUUAGCUAGUUGGUGAGGUAACGGCUCACCAAGGCAACGAUGCGUAGCCGGCCUGAGAGGGGGAUCGGCCAAACUGGGACUGAGACAAGGCCCAGACUCCUACGGGAGGCAGCAGUAGGGAAUCUUCCGCAAUGGACGAAAGUCUGACGGAGCAACGCCGCGUGAGUGAUGAAGGCUUUCGGGUCGUAAAACUCUGUUGUUAGGGAAGAACAAGUGCUAGUUGAAUAAGCUGGCACCUUGACGGUACCUAACCAGAAAGCCACGGCUAACUACGUGCCAGCCGCCGCGGUAA
rnacentral:rRNA from 1 species